rnacentral:lncRNA from 1 species
GUAGAACCGGUAUCGAAUAAGGUAUAGACUUCGCAAGAAUUUAUGAUUAGCUUACCCAUGAUAACUUCGUCCGAGUUCCUCGCUUUUUGAGAAGUCACGACAAACGUUCUUCCUUGAACCAUCGACUUUGACUUGUCCGGGACAACCUUUGGUGACACCGUAUCAACUGGAUUUAACUUUGAUAUAGAGCACAUUCCACCGUCAACUGCUUCGUCG